rnacentral:lncRNA from 1 species
GGCAUCUUCAGCUUCAUCCUUCACUUUCUAGGAUUGGAAAUUCCCAUACCAAUCCUUUAUCACUCCAACCAGUUCAUCAACACCCUUCUUGUAGAGAUGACUUGGAUAAUCAUCAUUUUCUCCAGUUUUGACCUUUUUGUACAAUUCAAGGUAGGCUAGUUGCUUGAAUGGAGUGUUCAUGGUGAAGCUUUGUUGCUUGCCUUCCUACCCUUAAGAUUUUCUCACAUAUUUUAAAGUCCAAUGAAGGCCAACCAAUUGUUAGGACUAGUCUUCCUAAGAUGAUUGGUAUAUCUUGAUCCUCUACGAUAUCAAGAACUAUUAAAUGAACUGGGAAGAUGAAAUCUCCAACUUUGAUGAGCACGUCAUCUACUACUCCUCGAGGCUAUUUUAUCGACCUAUCAAACAGUUGAAGAGUGAUUGAUGUUUUAUUUGGCUCUCCUAACUUACUUUCUUGUAAAUGUUCAAGUACAUCAUAUUAAUAUUUAAUUUGGAGUGACUUGAAGUAAUAAUGGUAUGUGAAUAUCAUAUAGAGCAAGGUGGAAUGAAACUUUCUGAUUCCUUUAACUUAGGUGGGAGCUUAUGCUGGAGGAUUGUACUAUACUAUUCAGAUAUACAACUGUCCUGUGUUCAGUAAAAUUUUUC